GCCCUCUUCAAGGAGUACUGGUGCAAAAGAUUGCACCCCAAGAAUGUGUGUGAAAAAGUUUACCGACAACCUCCUCUUCGUGAUUCUCUAAAAAGGGGCAAGCUGAGAAAGCAGGAUUUUGCCAUGACAAAGCAGAAGACUGCUCUUCUAGUUGCUGCUGAUUCAAUUGGCAAGAAGAUUCAAUAUGAUUGUCCUGGCUUUUUACCCAACAGGCGUCAGCAUCGUAUGGCAGGAUUAGCUGCUUUUGAAAUUGCACAAAAGGUUUCAAAAGCAUGGCGUUCUUUGCAAGCUGAGUGGAAACAUUCUAAUAGAAGCAUGUCAAAAUAUGGCAAGAAAGCUCGGAGAAGAAUUAACGUGCCCAGUCAGAAUAGAGGUGGUGCUGGUUGUAGUACAAGCAGUUCCUCAGAAUCAUCAACUUUGUAUGGAGUUGCAGAAGAUAAAACAUCUGGUCGUUAUAUGAUGUCAUGGCAAGAUGUUUACUCCUUGGCUGUCAGAUGGAGACAAAUUUCUGAACCCUGUGACCCAGUUGUGUGGGUUAACAAGUUAGGUGAAGAGUUCAAAUCUGGAUUUGGGUCUCACACACCAUUGAUUCUCGGACAAGCAAAAGUUGUUCGUUAC
rnacentral:misc_RNA from 1 species